rnacentral:lncRNA from 1 species
CAAUGAGCCGCUAAAGCUAUUUUUAGGCCAUAAUUCAUGCUCUAAUUUCAGUUUUGGUGAAUGAAAGACGUAUGAUGAUCAUUCGAACCUAAAUUCGUUACGAUGCGUGGUUAGGCCAAAAUAUGCAUUGACGAUCCGACUGUUAGAUCGUCCCCAAACUUUGAUUUGUUGUAAUAUGUAAUAUUUGAGGAUUAUAGGAACUUAUGGAUCGGGAAUCCGAUUUACGGAUCUUUCGGAAUUGGAGUUGUAAGUUCAUAAGCUAGAAUGUUAACCGUCACUUGGUUUUGGCAAUUGACGGAGAUCCGACCGUUGGAUGGUAAUGAAAUUUUAUGAUGUUGUCCUAGAGGUAUAUCGUAGAUCUCUAGAAGUUUUAGAUUGGAAAUCUGAGUUGCAAAUCUUCCAGAUUGAACUACGUAGUGACGUGUUUUAUAUAAGUUAUAUUCUAUCGAUAUGAUUUCUGAGGAAUGUAUUGAUGAUUAUUCUAGGCGCCGAUCAUCAUGAUGCCUUGAUGUGUUGUGCUAGGGAGUUGGAAGGCGAACUCCAGGUGAGUGGGCAGUUGUUUUCCGUAUAUACCUAUAUAAAUAAGAUUUUUCCUAGAAAAUCAAAUUAAGUGAAAUGUGAUAUGAAAUGCGUUAUGAAAUGCCAUGCAAAAUAUAUAUCUAUUUUAUUUAUGCAUUAGUAAUUGCAUACAUGCAUGAUUGGUGAUGUGGACACACAGGUAAGUGCCAGGUAAGUUCAUAAAUUAAAAUUAUGAUACUGUUGAGUUGAUGUGAUUGAAAGCUCAUAAACCUACACUAGGGUGAUUAUGAUUUAGCAGAGAUGUGAUUGAGGCUUGUAAAUAUAUUUAGUCACCCCCGAACCAUAUGCUCACAUUGGAUCCAAUUUAGGUGCCCAGUCUUGUCAUACAGACCACUCGUAGGUGGUUCUAACUCGUAGGUGACUAGCGAUUUAUCGCGUAGCUAUCAGGAGAGCAUAGCGUGAGCAUAACUAUAUUACACCCAGUUUUGUUGUACAGACCAUUUCAGUGGUUCCGACUCGUGUGCAGUGUAGUGCUGUACAGAUCACUUGUGGUGACUUCGGCUAGAUUGAUUGAUGAGAUUGAUUAUGAGCUAUAGUUUUAGCCGGGCUAAUCACUCGGUUGACAUGCUAUUAUUUAUGAUGAACUUACUUCACUGAUAUACUUAUAUGAUAUGAUGAAAUAUAAUUUGACAUGGCAUAUACUUUACAUAUUACUAUUUCUGAGCUGGUUUUGAGAUAAGUAAUUAUAUUUUUAUAUUCCUGGGAAACUAUACAGGUUUUACCGAGAGAGGUUACCACGUUAUGACAAAUGUUUUGUCUUUGAAAAGAUUUGUUUUACUGACCCACUCAACUUUGUUUUUCACCCCUCCAGGUUCUAAUUAGCUGAGUUUGGUGGCCACAAGGAAUCCAACAGUGUCCUGAUAGAAUUCACCAAAAUAGGAUUUACCUUCGGGUGUUAUAUCUUAGUAAUUGUUCUACUCGACUGCAACUAGACAUUCUUUUUACUCUGAAUGUGUAAUUAUACAUUGAGUUUUUCACUAGCAUCAUUUCUUAGCUAGCAUUGCUAGUGUUUCGGCUUUUAUUUAUUCGUAAUUCUAUUUAUUUUUUUUAGCUUCCAUACUGUACAAAUGGUUACGUCACUCGCACGUGAUGGCCAGCACGCCUUCCUUCGGGACGAGGUGUGUCAGGAAUGCUAUUCAAUGGAAUUUAGGAGAGAACUUAAUUAUUAGUUUUAUUAUUUCUGUUUUUUUUUUCUUUUCUUUAAUAAGGACUUAAAGGUCCAUUAGAGCUAAGAUUAGUGGUCAUUUAUUUGACCAUUUCUACUUGGUCUUUUCAAUGCUUGCCGUUGGUUGUAUAUAUGGAGGUUGUUUCUCCAUUGUAAAGGAGAAGCCACAAAAAAUAAAACAAAAAAAUCAUCUAUUAUACAUAAGGGGCUGUGGCAAGGAAGGCCAAGAGGAAGAGCUACUGGAGUUUUUCUUUACUAGGGCUAUGAUGUAGCCUAAUCAUGAAUACUUAAUUUCCUUGUGGCAUUGCUAUUAUCAUGUUUUUCUUCUUUAUUGAGUAUCUUUUGCUAUUUGUAAUGCGCUUGAUUUUUAUUUGGAUGCUUGAUCACCAUCUAGGUUUAAAUUAGGUUGAUUUGAUGCAAGUUAGAGUAGAUGCCAUACUUAACUUGGGUUUAGCUUCUUGCAAUUAAUACCAUAAACACCUAUUUGUAGAUGCCAUACAAUUAGGGUUUGUGUGAUUUUCCAACGAUUUCCAUAGAGCUUAAUGGGUUCUUACUUGUUGAAAUUCAUCUAGAUGUUAUAAAGGGUUAACAAGUAAGGAUACUUGUGAUGCAACCAGAUGCCAUUGCCGUUGAAUAAUUUAGGGAAAAUCGAUCGUCAAUAUUGGGGAACUACUCGAGCAUAACAUAUUAAGGGAAUUGAGUAGAAUUGGUUACGGUGAAAUCGGAUGCCCUAGGUUUUAUUUUCUUAGGUUUUUAAUUUUAUAUUUCAUGCAUUUUAUUUUCAAGUCAUAUUUCAUUUUUAGUUUAAUUUCAAAUUUUCGCUCGUUUCCAUUAAAGCUUCUCAAUUACAAUUUGUUUCAAUUUAGUUAGUUAGAUUUUUAGAGUCAAUUUGAUCUCUAUGGGAGAAUAUCCGUGCUUAUAUGCUAUACUAUCAUUUGAUUCGUAUACUUGCGAGCAUAAAAAUUCGAGACUUAAUGAGCCUAAUUUCGGUUAUCUAAUUUUCGCAACAAUUCCCUCAUCUCCAACUUUAUUUUGAUACAUGGCACGUGAGGUUUGGUUAAGAUUUGACGAAUUUGUGAGUUUAUGAAUUUUUUAGGCAAAAAAAUUCUAGUUUCCAAUGAACUUUGGUCAGUAAGAAGCACACCAAAUAAGAAGAUGGAAUACUUUGUCAAAGUUGACAGGAUAUUCCUAAUAGUGUUAGAAUAUUCCUAACCCUCGAAGGUAUAUUUCGUUAGUUUAGGGUUCGGUUAGCUGGACCAGCUUGGACUAGCUUCGGUAGGCUAAGACCAGCUUCGACCAACUCAUUGACCUCAUCGUUGGCCAAUCAACAUUGACCAUUGACUUUUUAGUUGAAUUUUAUGGAAUUGCCCCAGACCACCCCAAGGUAUUUCACCGCUCUGACUUCGUUUUCACACUUUGUUUCUUCAAAUUCAAACAUUUUAAUGGAGUUUUACUACUGGGCCUCUGUAUGUGCUUAGGUGCAAUUAUUACUAGAGACCUUGUUCUUCCUAGUUUGAGUGACUACGACCCCAUAAAGUAUCUGUGAGUGGGUCUUUGCUUUAAAAAAACUAUUAUACUACAGUUUCCAUUAAUGCAUUUCGAAUGUUUGUGUGACAUGCCAUGUUCGACGUAGAAAAUAAUAAUUGCCUACACUUGGUAAUUAUUAUUAUGCGAGUAUAAACUAUGGCAUGUUCACACUUGUGAUUUUAUCUGCUGAAAAUCUCAUGUAUGUACGGUGCCACAUUUAGUUUAGUGUCCGAGCCAAGGAUAAACUUUACUUAUAUGUUCACACGCACCGUUCACUUUCACUUUGGAUCCAGAAAAGGUGCAAGCUUCUCCCUAGUUUUGCAUUAGGCAGCUACAACCUAUAUUUGAGCCUUUAGCUCCAGUUUCUCGUGAUUAUAGUACUAGAACGUAAAUUAUACACCCAGCAUGUUCAUAUAGUUACUCCUGCUACAAGACUUGUGUGC